rnacentral:rRNA from 1 species
GACGAACGCUGGCGGCGUGCUUAACACAUGCAAGUCGAGCGGUAAGGCCCUUUCGGGGGUACACGAGCGGCGAACGGGUGAGUAACACGUGGGUGACCUGCCCUCAGCUCUGGGAUAAGCCUGGGAAACCGGGUCUAAUACUGGAUAUGACUCCAUGACGCAUGUUGUGGGGUGGAAAGCCUUGUGCGGCUGAGGAUGGGCCCGCGGCCUAUCAGCUUGUUGGUGGGGUGAGGCCUACCAAGGCGACGACGGGUAGCCGGCCUGAGAGGGCGACCGGCCACACUGGGACUGAGACACGGCCCAGACUCCUACGGGAGGCAGCAGUGGGGAAUCUUGCGUAAUGGGCGAAAGCCUGACGCAGCGACGCCG